AAAAUCCUACGGGACGCAGCAGUAGGGAAUCUUCCACAAUGGACGAAAGUCUGAUGGAGCAACGCCGUGUGAGUGAAGAAGGGUUUCGGCUCGUAAAGCUCUGUUGGUAGUGAAGAAAGAUAGAGGGAGUAACUGGCCUUUAUUUGACGGUAAUUACUUAGAAAGUCACGGCUAACUACGUGCCAGCAGCCGCGGGAAUACGGAGGUGGCAAGCGGUGUCCGGAUUUAUUGGGCGUAAAGCGAGUGCAGGCGGGUGCAUUA
rnacentral:rRNA from 1 species